rnacentral:rRNA from 1 species
AUGAACGCUGGCGGCGUGCCUAAUACAUGCAAGUCGAGCGAACAGACGAGGAGCUUGCUCCUCUGACGUUAGCGGCGGACGGGUGAGUAACCCGUGGAUAACCUACCUAUAAGACUGGGAUAACUUCGGGAAACCGGAGCUAAUACCGGAUAAUAUAUUGAACCGCAUGGUUCAAUAGUGAAAGUCGGUUUUGCUGUCACUUAUAGAUGGAUCCGCGCCGCAUUAGCUAGUUGGUAAGGUAACGGCUUACCAAGGCAACGAUGCGUAGCCGACCUGAGAGGGUGAUCGGCCACACUGGAACUGAGACACGGUCCAGACUCCUACGGGAGGCAGCAGUAGGGAAUCUUCCGCAAUGGGCGAAAGCUUGACGGAGCAACGCCGCGUGAGUGAUGAAGGUCUUCGGAUCGUAAAACUCUGUUAUUAGGGAAGAACAAAUGUGUAAGUAACUAUGCACGUCUUGACGGUACCUAAUCAGAAAGCCACGGCUAACUACGUG